UAACCACUCAAGCCUAGCUUGGUAUUGGGGUUCGCUAUCCUGCGGCCCUUAAAAUCAGUGGCGGCGCUGCCUAGCUCUAAGCGUAGUAAUUCUCUCGCUAUAGGGUCUGGGUAGUCACUUGCCAAAACCCCCCACUUCUCAC
rnacentral:misc_RNA from 1 species